UGGGGAAUAUUGGGCAAUGGACGCAAGUCUGACCCAGCGACGCCGCGUGAGGGAUGAAGGCCUUCGGGUUGUAAACCUCUUUCAGUAGGGAAGAAGCGAAAGUGACGGUACCUACAAAAGAAGCACCGGCUAACUAUGUGCCAGCAGCCGCGGUAAUACAUAGGGUGCAAGCGUUGUCCGGAUUUAUUGGGCGUAAAGAACUCGUAGGUGGUUUGUUACGUCGGAUGUGAAACUCUGGGGCUCAACCCCAGACCUGCAUCCGAUACGGGCAGACUAGAGUGUGGUAGGGGAGACUGGAAUUCCUGGUGUAGCGGUGGAAUGCGCAGAUAUCAGGAGGAACACCAAUGGCGAAGGCAGGUCUCUGGGCCAUUACUGACACUGAGGAGUGAAAGUGUGGGGAGCGAACAGG
rnacentral:rRNA from 1 species